ACCAUGCAAGUCGAGCGGUAACAUUUCUAGCUUGGUAGAAUAUGACAAGCGGCGGACAGGUGAGUAAUGCGUGGGAACAUGCCUUGAGGUGGGGGACACCAGUUGGAAACAACAGCGAAUACCGCAUAAUGUCUACGGACCCCAGGGGGCUUCUGCUCUCGCCUUUAGAUUGGCCCAAGUGGGAUUAGCUAGUUGGGGAGGUAAUGGGUCACCAAGGCGACAAUCCCUAGCUGGUUUGAGAGGAUGAUCACCCACACUGGGACUGAGACACGGCCCACACUCCUACAGGAGGCGGCACUGGGGAAUAUUGCGCAAUGGGCGCAAGCCUGAUGCACCCCUGCCGCGUGUGUGAAGAAAGCCUUCUGGUUGUAAAGAACUUUUUGUCACGAGGAAAGGUUAUAAGUUAAUACCUGCGAGCUGUGACGUUUCUGACACAAAAAACACCGGCUAACUCCCUGCCCCCACCCCCGGUAAUACAGAGGGUGCGAGCGUUAAUCUCAAUUACUGGGCGUAAAGCGUACACACGCGGUUUGUUAAACGAGAUGUGAAAACCCCGGGCUCUCCCUGGGAACUGCAUUUCUAACUGUGAAACUAUAGUGUGAUAUAGGGGGGGUAKAAUUUUACGUGUGUCGGUGAAAUGCGUAGAGAUCUGAAAGAAUACCGAUGGCGAAAGCGCCCCCCUGUGUCAACACUGACACUCAUGUACAAAAGCGUGUGGAGAAAACACGAUWAUAUACCCUGGGAKUCCCCCCCCCAAACAAUAUCUACUAUAAACUCUCAACCUCUCUUCUGUUUUUUUAAACUAUCACAUUAUAU
rnacentral:rRNA from 1 species